rnacentral:rRNA from 1 species
GAUGAACGCUGGCUACAGGCUUAACACAUGCAAGUCGAGGGGAAACGACGGGGAAGCUUGCUUCCCCGGGCGUCGACCGGCGCACGGGUGAGUAACGCGUAUCCAACCUGCCUCUGACUGAGGGAUAACCCGUCGAAAGUCGGCCUAAUACCUCAUGGUAUCGUCUGCGGGCAUCCAACGACGAUUAAAGAUUUCAUCGGUCAGGGAUGGGGAUGCGUCUGAUUAGCUUGUUGGCGGGGUAACGGCCCACCAAGGCUACGAUCAGUAGGGGUUCUGAGAGGAAGGUCCCCCACAUUGGAACUGAGACACGGUCCAAACUCCUACGGGAGGCAGCAGUGAGGAAUAUUGGUCAAUGGGCGAGAGCCUGAACCAGCCAAGUAGCGUGCAGGAAGACGGCCCUAUGGGUUGUAAACUGCUUUUAUGCGGGGAUAAAGUGAGGGACGUGUCCCUCAUUGCAGGUACCGCAUGAAUAAGGACCGGCUAAUUCCGUGCCAGCAGCCGCGGUAAUACGGAAGGUCCUGGCGUUAUCCGGAUUUAUUGGGUUUAAAGGGAGCGUAGGCCGUGGAUUAAGCGUGUUGUGAAAUGCAGGUGCUCAACGUCUGCACUGCAGCGCGAACUGGUCCACUUGAGUGUGCGCAACGCAGGCGGAAUUCGUCGUGUAGCGGUGAAAUGCUUAGAUAUGACGAAGAACUCCGAUUGCGAAGGCAGCUUGCGGGAGCACAACUGUCGCUGAAGCUCGAAAGUGCGGGUAUCGAACAGG